rnacentral:rRNA from 1 species
AGUUUGAUCCUGGCUCAGGAUGAACGCUGGCGGCGUGCUUAACACAUGCAAGUCGAACGGGGGCGUGAUGUGCGAGAGGGAUAGUUUACUAGACUUCAAACUUUUCACGCCCUAGUGGCGGACGGGUGAGUAACGCGUGGGUAACCUGCCAUAUACAGGGGGAUAACACUUAGAAAUAGGUGCUAAUACCGCAUAAGCGCACAGGGGCGCAUGCCCCGGUGUGAAAAACUCCGGUGGUAUAUGAUGGACCCGCGUCUGAUUAGCCAGUUGGCAGGGUAACGGCCUACCAAAGCGACGAUCAGUAGCCGGCCUGAGAGGGCGGACGGCCACAUUGGGACUGAGACACGGCCCAAACUCCUACGGGAGGCAGCAGUGGGGGAUAUUGCACAAUGGGGGAAACCCUGAUGCAGCGACGCCGCGUGAGUGAAGAAGUAUUUCGGUAUGUAAAGCUCCAUCAGCAGGGAAGAAAAUGACAGUACCUGACCAAGAAGCCCCGGCUAACUACGUG